CGGCAAAGGGUGAGUAAUACAUGGGUGAUGUGCCCUUGACUCCGGCAUAGCUUCGGGAAACUGAGGGUAAUUCCGGAUAGUCCUACUGGAUUUCAUGGUCUUGUAGGUAAAGGUGGGGAUCCUUCGGGACCCACAGGUCAGGGAGCGGCUCAUGCGCUAUCAGCUUGUUGGUGAGGUAACGGCUCACCAAGGCUACGACGGCUAGGCGGUCUGAGAGGAUGACCGCCCACAUCGGGACUGAGACACUGCCCGGACUCCUACGGGAGGCUGCAGUCGAGAAUCAUCCGCAAUGGGCGAAAGCCUGACGGUGCGACGCCGCGUGAGAGACGAAGGCUCUAGGGUUGUAAACCUCUUUCGCCUGUUAAGAAUGUGCUGGUGUUAAUAGCAUUAGUGCUGACAAAGGCAGGUAAAGAAGCACCGGCUAACUCCGUGCCAGCAGCCGCGGUAGACGGAGGGUGCAAGCGUUACUCGGAAUUACUGGGCGUAAAGGGUCCGUAGGCGGCCUGGAAAGUUGGAUGUGAAAUCCCACAGCUUAACUGUGGAACUGCGUCCAAAACUAUCAGGCUAGAGGAUGGUAGGGGACAGUGGAACUCAAGGUGGAGCGGUGAAAUGCGUAGAGAUCUUGAGGAACGCCGGUGGCGAAAGCGACUGUCUGGGCCAUUCCUGACGCUGAGGGACGAAAGCUAGGGGAGCGAACGGGAUUAGAUACCCCGGUAGUCCUAGCUGUAAACGAUGACCACUAG
rnacentral:rRNA from 1 species